GAUGAAGAACGUAGCGAAAUGCGAUAAGUAAUGUGAAUUGCAGAAUUCAGUGAAUCAUCGAAUCUUUGAACGCACAUUGCGCCCGCUAGUAUUCUGGCGGGCAUGCCUGUUCGAGCGUCAUUUCAACCAUCAAGCCCCAGGCUUGCGUUGGGGGCCUGCGGCUGCCGCAGCCCCUGAAAAGCAGUGGCGGGCUCGCUGUCAUUCCGAGCGUAGUAGUUACAUCUCGCUCCGGGCGUGGCGGUGGGCACCUGCCGUGAAACACUCUAUCUAAGGUUGACCUCGGAUCAGGUAGGAAUACUCGCUGAACUUAAGCAUAUCAAUAAGCGGAGGA
rnacentral:misc_RNA from 1 species